GACAAUAAAAAUUUUAAAUUAUCUAAAUGUAAAUGAUAAAAGUUAACAACCAUAAUAAUACAUAAAUUCCCUAAAUUAUAGCCUCUUUAAUAGCUCUGUGGUCUCUAAUUCCACUGUUUACUAAGAUAAAAUUUACAUUAUCACUGUAUCUAUUUGUCACUAUAUUUUAAAAGGCCUGAAUUGGAUCAACGGCAAAAAGUGAGAUUUCUUUGAAGGAGUAUCUGGAGAGCUCACGGGCCAGCAGUAACUUCUUUUACCUCCAGCAGUGUCUACCCAGCCUCCUGCAUGCUCAGCUGCCCAUGAAACUGCUCUGUUGCUGGGACUAGAGUACAGCAGCGUCAUCACAACUCACUGCAACCUCCAACUCCAGGACUGAAGUGGUCCUCCUCCUUCAGCCUACUGAGAAGCUGGGACUACAGGGCAUGGACAAUACAAAGGUGAUAUUCAACGUAAUAUACUUGACAACUCAACAAACAGCUCUGAACAAUAUCUAAGUGGCAGCAGGGGAGCUAUAAGAAGUUUGGUAUUGCGGAAGAAUAGUGGAAGGCAGAAUAAAAAGGUAAGCACGGGUCAAAUCAUAAAGGGCCAGACUUCUAAAGGCCUGUGAUAAAAAGCCUAGAAUUUAUCCUGUAGGGGCUGAAAGCCACUAAAGGGUUUCCAGCAGGAACCAUCUAUGUUUCAGAAAGAUGUUUAUGGAGAAUACAUUGGAGGGGAAAAGACCAGGGAGAAGACACCUGAAAUAAGUGGGGCAAAAUACAAAGGACGAGUAUUAUUAGUCAAGACCUCUUAUUGCAAGCAACAGAAAACUAUCCCAAACUGGCUUAAGCCAAAUAGAAUUCAUUUAUAAACUUACAAAAUUAUGUAAGGAAAUAAGAUUGCCUAUGGAGUGCAUUGCCUGACAAAAGAGAUAUUAAGAAGGGAAGUUAGAUAGCUUAUCCUGUGGUUCCUCCCAAAGUGAACUUUUUAGAACCUUAAAAUAAAUCUCAUAGCACCUGUUUCAAAUGGUAACUUGCUAGGAUAAUUGCACAGUCCAUAUUCAUUCAUUUAUUCAGAAACUAUUUAAUGAAGGUUUAAUAUAAGCUAAGCUCUGUAUUGCUAGCUGGUAGGUAUAUAUACUGGUGGGAAGAGAAAAAAGCAAAAACCUGACAUCCUCUACUUUCAUAGACCUUACAAUCUAGAGAAGGAGAGAAAAUUUUCUUAAAAGCUUGUGAAACCUUCUGUAACCUUUUUAAAUCUCAGUUUCCUCACUUAGGAAAACAGAAAAGGUGGUGGAAGAUGUUGUAAACACACACACACACACACACAUAUCUUAAUAGACUGUUGUGAGGAUUAAGUAAAUAGUCUUACUUUAAAAACCACCAGAGCUCCAAGAAUAAAUUGAGAAGAUUAUUUGGUGUGGUCAUUGUUACUUGUCUCUAUCUCCUACAAAAUGUAAAUAUUUUAACAGUAGUAUAAUAAAAGGUACAUCUUUUUUGUACACUGAUGAUGUACGCUCUGGUAAACUGAAUGUAUUUUGUUGUCACAACACUUGGUGAAAUUGCAAAUUAAGUCUUAAAUUUAAAAAGAAAACUUAAAAACUUAAACUUCAAGUUUAACAUUAAGUGAUAACUCAGACUUAUCCUGGAACUAAAAAAAAAAGAAAGAAAGAAAAACAAAAAAAGAUUAACUUUAAGUGAAAAACAAAACCAAUAUUAAGUCUGGUACCUCAGGUCUAAAUGAUUCCCAAGGCUAUCAAUAAGCCCAGCCCCAAGUAGAAUUCUGAAGAACUGUCCAGAAAGUUACAUGUAAAAAACUGACAAUUGACAAUAUGAAUUUUAGAAGAAAGGAAACUGAGAGAAAAGUUCACAAUCUUCAUAGGCAUACGUCAUUUAGUAUAAGGGCUGACAGCCAUGACAGUGUUGUAUUACAAUAUAGUCAUUAAAUCAAGUAAACAGGAUGUUAAAUAAUGUUCAGUAUACCACUUUGAGAAAGGGAUGGCAUUAUGCAAUAUGUUUUAAAAAUAUUUCAAUGCAAAAUAAUAAAAACUACAACCUCUUUCAUCCCCUAAAAUUAUUUUAUUCCUAAAGGAAUCACAUAUAUAUAGUUUUCAUUCAAAAAAGAAAUCUACUUUAGAUCCACUACAGAGAAUAGAUUAGAGGAAGAACAGUGAGUUGCUACUGCCUUAGUCUAGGUAAAACAGAACAGAACAAAACAGUGGCUUGGAUUAAGGUUGACAAAGAGUAGAAACAGGCACAUUUGAAAGCUAUUCAAGUAGGUACAAGAGAAAGGACUCAGUGUCUGAUUGGAAUGGGGGUAGGAAGAGAAGGAAGAAUCACGGUGACUUCCACAUAUCUGGCUUGGAUAACUGGGUGGAAUGGUGCUUCUAUUGAAAUGAAUUAGGGACAAUCAGGAAAAGAAUAGGUUUGAAGAGAAUGAAUGCUGUCUUCCACAUACUGACUUUGAGAACUUACAAGUUAAGAAGAAAUCCACAUUGGCAGUUUGAUAUAAAAUCUUGAGCUAAGAAGAGACCUUUGAUGCACAUAUAGCUAUGGAGUCAUCAUAUCAUUUAGUUAGAAAGUAAACCAGAAAACAAAAGUUA